GCCGGCUGCCGGGCACGGCAGUGGGAGCCCAACGCAGCCGGGAGCCGCCCGCCCGCCCGGUCGUUCGUUCCUUCUUCGUUCGUUCUCCCGCCGCCAGCUCGGUCUGUCCCCGGGGGAGCCGCCGCGGAGAACCGUGCUUGCGGCCGCCGGCAAGAGAUUAAUGGUAAGGAAGAGUGGAUAGAGAGGGAACGCAGAUGAGUCCGGCACCCAGCAGCAAAGGUUGACCAGCCUGGAUCGCGGCGCUAGGGACCUGAAGCAAGGAUCCUGACUGAUGCGUGUUUAGUACGACCUGACUUCUUGAGGAGAACAAGUAUUUCUCUGAAGGCCAGUCCUCUCAAAGCAGCACGCAGGUAAGGCAGACGGAGCUCCCGACGCUCGGGCUCAAGCGCUGCUGGGCUCUGC
rnacentral:lncRNA from 1 species